rfam:Daphnia pulex DAPPTscaffold_270_Cont8103, whole genome shotgun sequence.
GGGAUUGUAACUCAGAGGUAGAGUGCUCGCUUCGCAUGUGAGAAUACCGGAGUUCAAUCCUCCGCAUUUCCA